rnacentral:rRNA from 1 species
UACGGGGGGGGCAAGCGUUGUUCGGAAUUACUGGGCGUAAAGGGCGCGUAGGCGGCCUACUAAGUCGGACGUGAAAUCCCUCGGCUCAACCUGGAGCGGCCAUCCGAUACUGCUAUGGCUAGAGUCCGGUAGGGGACCACGGAAUUCCUGGUGUAGCGGUGAAAUGCGCAGAUAUCAGGAGGAACACCGGUGGCGAAGGCGGUGGUCUGGGCCGGAACUGACGCUGAAUAGCGAAAGCGUGGGUAGCGAACAGG